UAUAUAUAUAUAUAUAUAUAUAUAUAUAUAUAUAUAUAUAUAUAUAUAUAUAUAUAUAUAUAUAUAUAUCUAUGCUAUGUUUGCUGACCUCUGUGGUAGUGGUCAUAUCCUAGGUUGUCUGUGCGUCGACAUUCUCUUUCUUUCAAGUAGUCCAACCAAGAACUUGUUGAAAAUUCUUGAAACUUACUGUUAAGUGGCAGGGACUCGCGAUGGAAUAAUCUCUGGAUUAUUGUGAUGUUACUACCGUAGGAAAAUUUCUGCAUGAUUUGUGAGUAAUUAUAUAGGCUAAUUUAUAGCUGAAGAUCUGCCUUUCUGAUGUUGUAUGAGCA